rnacentral:rRNA from 1 species
GACGAACGCUGGCGGCGUGCUUAACACAUGCAAGUCGAACGGAAAGGCCCUGCUUUUGUGGGGUGCUCGAGUGGCGAACGGGUGAGUAACACGUGAGUAACCUGCCCUUGACUUUGGGAUAACUUCAGGAAACUGGGGCUAAUACCGGAUAGGAGCUCCUGCUGCAUGGUGGGGGUUGGAAAGUUUCGGCGGUUGGGGAUGGACUCGCGGCUUAUCAGCUUGUUGGUGGGGUAGUGGCUUACCAAGGCUUUGACGGGUAGCCGGCCUGAGAGGGUGACCGGCCACAUUGGGACUGAGAUACGGCGCAGACUGCUACGGGAGGCAGCAGGGGGGAAUAUUGCACAAUGGGCGGACGCCUGAUGCAGCAACGCCGCGUGCGGGAUGACGGCCUUCGGGUUGUAAACCGCUUUCGCCUGUGACGAAGCGUGAGUGACGGUAAUGGGUAAAGAAGCACCGGCUAACUACGUG